UUUGUAUUUCAGGAAUGUAGUGUGUGCAGGUGGUGCAGUGUGUGUAUGUGUGUGUGGGGGGGAGGGGGAAUCUAGUGAGUAAAGGACCCAGAGUGUGUAUAGGAGAUUGUGUGUGUGUGUGUGUGUGUGUGUGUGUGUGUGUGUGUGUGUAUAUAGAGGAUUCAGAGUGUUUAUAGGGAUCUAGUCUGUGUAUGUGUGUAGAUUAGAUGACCCAGAGUUGGGUAAG